rnacentral:rRNA from 1 species
CGUAGGGUGCGAGCGUUGUCCGGAAUUACUGGGCGUAAAGAGCUCGUAGGCGGUUUGUCGCGUCGUCUGUGAAAUUCUGCAACUCAAUUGCAGGCGUGCAGGCGAUACGGGCAGACUUGAGUACUACAGGGGAGACUGGAAUUCCUGGUGUAGCGGUGAAAUGCGCAGAUAUCAGGAGGAACACCGGUGGCGAAGGCGGGUCUCUGGGUAGUAACUGACGCUGAGGAGCGAAAGCGUGGGUAGCGAACAGGAUU